UUGCAGAUCCAGAUGGAUUGUAGAGGCAGCAUUUCUGCUCAGUUCAGUGAACCAUGGACAAGCCUUCCUGCUCCGAUGUAGGAGAAAACAUGUCAGGAGGUAUAAAAUGAGCUGUUUGGACAACUUGUUUCUUCAGGAAAAUGGCUUAGGAUCUUCCUAUGUUGCCCAAGUGGCCCUGAACACCUAGGUGCAAGCAGUUCUCUCAUUCAGCUUCCUGAACACCUGGGACAAUGGGCACAUGCC